rnacentral:rRNA from 1 species
AUACGUAGGUGGCAAGCGUUGUCCGGAUUUACUGGGUGUAAAGGGCGUGUAGCCGGGCCGACAAGUCAGAUGUGAAAUCCGCGGGCUUAACCCGCGAACUGCAUUUGAAACUGUUGGUCUUGAGUAUCGGAGAGGUAAUCGGAAUUCCUAGUGUAGCGGUGAAAUGCGUAGAUAUUAGGAAGAACACCAGUGGCGAAGGCGGCCUGCUGGGCUUUAACUGACGCUGAGGCUCGAAAGUGUGGGGAGC